UUUUGUUAGUUUUUUAAUCCGAAAACCUGCUUAUAGUUUGUGUAUAUAUGCGCACUUCAUGCAUAUGAGAUUCGAGAUUUACGGUUAAUACAUUUACAGAAAUCGAUUUAGGAGAUGCUUUGAAUCUGAACAUUAGGAGAUGCAAAUAUGUUAAGCCAACACCUGUUCAACGUUACACUAUUCCCAUUUCUUUAGCGGGCCGAGACUUGAUGGCUUGUGCUCAAACGGGCUCGGGAAAAACAGCAGCAUUUUGUUUUCCUAUAAUCAGUGGGAUUAUGAGACAACAAUCUGUGCAAAAGCCACGUGGCAGUAGGACUGUUUUCCCUCUUGCUCUUAUUCUAUCUCCUACUAGAGAGCUUUUGAGUCGGAUACAUGUGGAAGCUCGAAAAUUUGCUUAUCAAACAGGUGUCAAGGUAGUGUUUCUACCAUGGCGUGAUUAGCUGCUUCGUGAUUAUAAAACAGGCGAGAUUUUAACAAGAGCCUCAAGGUGGAUAUUAAUCUAUCAGAUGCUACGUGGACCCGGGCAGUUGUUCCUAGCAAAGCAUCAACAGUAAAGGGUGAUAUUCGGUUUAAGAAAAACGAUGCACAAAAGGACAAAUGAUGAUGUUCAGAUCAAAGGAGUUGAUCAUCUGUGGAGUCGGCAAAGCUACGUAGAAAUGAAUGAAAUUAGUCAAAAACAAUUUUCUUUUAUCAACGUCUUUAAUUCAAAAGCUUGGUGAUUACAUUUUUACUCUCUCCUUAAUAUAACUUGUGACAUAGGAAAUUAUGGACUCCA